GAUGAAGAACGCAGUGAAAUGCGAUAAGUAAUGCGAAUUGCAGAAUUUCCGUGAGUCAUCGAAUCUUUGAACGCACAUUGCGCCCACUGGUAUUCCGGUGGGCAUGCCUGUUCGAGCGUCAUUAUCCUCCCUCAAACCCCGGGUUUGGUGUUGGACCCAAGUUGUGUGAACAACUGGUCUUAAAGACAAUGACGGCGUCCGUGGGACCCUCGGUGCAACGAGCUUUUAGGAGCACGCAUCGAGUUGCAAGGACCUUCCGGGCCGGUCUCCUUUACUAUUUUACAAGGUUGACCUCGGAUCAGGUAGGAAUACCCGCUGAACUUAAGCAUAUCAAAAGCGGAGGA
rnacentral:misc_RNA from 1 species